GGUGCAGUAACGGCGAGUGAACAGGCAAGAGCUCAGAUUUGAAAGGCACUUUUGUGCCGUUGUAUUCUGAAGUUAGGGUCCUGAGAAACGAUGCUUAAGUCUUCUGGAAAGGAGCGCCAUGGAGGGUGAUAGCCCCGUCUAGCAUUGACCUCAUAUAGGAUCUUAACAUGGAGUCGAGUUGUUUGGGAAUGCAGCUCAAAUGGGUGGUAUGCUCCAUCUAAAGCUAAAUAUCUGCGAGAGACCGAUAGUAAACAAGUACUGUGAGGGAAAGAUGAAAAGAACUUUGAAAAGAGAGUGAAAAAGUACGUGAAAUUGUUGAAAUGGAAGGGUAGGCCGCUAACCAUGUAGAGCCGUGUUUGGGGGGAAGAUAAAUGCUGUAGAAUGUAGCUCCUCGGAGUAUUAUAGAUGCAGUUCAUAUUCCCACCCGAGCGCGAGGAUCUCAGGUUCUACUAAAUGGUGGUCUACCACCCGUCUUGAACCACGGACCAAA
rnacentral:rRNA from 1 species